UAAAUAUUUGAACAAUUUUAA
ensembl:piRNA 21ur-11776 ncRNA